CGUGGGGAAACCCCGCUAAUACCGCAUACGCCCUACGGGGGAAAGCGGGGGCUCUUCGGACCUCGCGCUAAUAGAUGAGCCUGCGUGGGAUUAGCUAGUUGGUAGGGUAAAGGCCUACCAAGGCGACGAUCCCUAGCUGGUCUGAGAGGACGAUCAGCCACACUGGGACUGUGACACGGCCCAGACUCCUACGGGAGGCAGCAGUGGGGAAUAUUGGACAAUGGGCGCAAGCCUGAUCCAGCAAUACCGCGUGUGUGAAGAAGGCCUGAGGGUUGUAAAGCACUUUCAAUAGGGAGGAAAACCUGUCGGCGAAUACCCGGCAGCUUGACAUUACCUAUACAAGAAGCACCGGCUAACUCCGUGCCAGCAGCCGCGGUAAUACGGAGGGUGCAAGCGUUAAUCGGAAUUACUGGGCGUAAAGCGUGCGUAGGCGGUUUGCUAAGUCAGAUGUGAAAGCCCCGGGCUUAACCUGGGAACUGCAUUUGAAACUGGUUAACUCGAGUUUAGUAGAGGGGAGUGGAAUUUCAGGUGUAGCGGUGAAAUGCGUAGAUAUCUGAAGGAACACCAGUGGCGAAGGCGACUCCCUGGACUAAAACUGACGCUGAGGUACGAAAGCGUGGGUAGCAAACAGGAUUAGAUACCCUGGUAGUCCACGCCGUAAACGAUGUCAACUAGCCGUUGGUCCUUUUUAUAGGAUUAGUGGCGCAGCUAACGCAUUAAGUUGACCGCCUGGGGAGUACGGCCGCAAGGUUAAAACUCAAAUGAAUUGACGGGGGCCCGCACAAGCGGUGGAGCAUGUGGUUUAAUUCGAUGCAACGCAAAGAACCUUACCUACCCUUGACAUCCAUAGAAUC
rnacentral:rRNA from 1 species